UACGUAGGGGGCAAGCGUUGUCCGGAAUUAUUGGGCGUAAAGAGCGCGUAGGCGGUCCGAUAAGUCGGCUGUGAAAGUCCAGGGCUCAACCCUUGAAAGCCGGCCGAUACUGUCGGACUAGAGUCCGGAAGAGGAGAGUGGAAUUCCCGGUGUAGCGGUGAAAUGCGCAGAUAUCGGGAGGAACACCGAUGGCGAAGGCAGGUCUCUGGGCCGCUACUGACGCUGAGAAGCGAAAGCAUGGGGAGCGAACAGG
rnacentral:rRNA from 1 species